rnacentral:snRNA from 1 species
GUGCUCACUUUGGCAGCACAUAUACUAAAACUGGAACAAUACAGAGGAGAUUAGCAUGGUCCCUGCACAAGGAUGACACCCAAAUUAGUGAAGCGUUCCAUAUUUUU